AAAAUGAAUAAAUUAAAAGUGUGCUUCAGCAAUUUAGUCCUCUUAGCAGAUAUUCUGCAAGCUCGGUAGAAGAUGUCAAAACCUGCUGAUAUCUAACAGAGUCAACUCCAAGUUUGUGUAUCCCAGUCCAUUCUACCUUUCCAUCAGGCAGUACAUGUGGAAAUAGAAAAGCAGCUCUCUAAUUAAUCAAAGUCAGAUGUGCCUGAACGCCUGGAGUUGCUGCUGAUCCUUGUCCCAGCUUCUCCCAUGUUCUCGCUCUAUGUUUUUACCUUGAAAACUUCUGCUCUGAGCUGGGAAUGCCUGAAGGGCUUGCACGGCCACAGAGAAUUGCUAAAGAAAGUUUUGGAACGAGGCUGACUUGAUUUUACUCAGACUUCUUCAUUUCAAGCAAAGCAAGCAGAUUCUGGCUGUUUCACCAGAGAAGAGGCUUAGUAAGUAGAUAUCAGGAGCUCACAGGUUUGUUGGGAAAAGAACAAGAUUCCAGAACAAAGUUCAAGACCUAGUUUCCAGGAGCACGCUUUGAAGGAGCAUGCUUUGAAAACUUUUCAUCAUAAAUGUCACUGAGCAGUAGAUUCUACAGCUUGUCUUAAAGGAGCCAAAUAUUUGACUUUGCUACAAACUCAACUACUGCCUGAGUCUUGCUGCUUAUGACUGAUGCACAACCACCACUGGCUGGUAAAGCCAAAUAGUUCUGGCGCCAUUCUUGCUGCAAGGUGGACUUUGAGUGCUUGUCCAUCCUCAUGUGACUCCCUUCUGAACCUAAAUCUCACUCCAGCUCAUAUGACUGGUGGGGCCUUUGAAAUAUUAGCAACAUUUUCUACAUGGAUAAUAGGAUGGAUACUUACAGCUGAUGUUGAGACACUAUAAGGGAAGAAUCACAGUCAACCUUUCUAAAGAAACGAAUCAAGCUUUUCUAUCACUUUUUACAUUGGUUCCGCGCGGGUGGUCUUUUAUUUCACAGGGCAUAUUAAUCUCCUGUUAUAUGUAACAACCACUACUGUGUGUCAUCUCAGUACAGUACAAUAAAGUGACUCCAGAGUUUCCCUCUAAACUUAGUGACCAGGCUUCUCUUACUGUGACAAAUGUUUAUGGAUUCUUCUAAUUACACGUCUGGUUUAAAGCUAAGAUACCAAGAGAAUACAGUUCUCUUUUGUAAAGUUCCCAAGGUUUUUCUAUAAUAAUCAAUUACCAUAAUGAGUUUUUUUAAAGCUUCCAUUCAUCAUUUUCUUAAAAUAUAUAAAC
rnacentral:lncRNA from 1 species